rnacentral:rRNA from 1 species
UGCCUUGGAGAGGGGGAAUAACACUCCGAAAGGAGUGCUAAUACCGCAUGAUGCAGUUGGGUCGCAUGGCUCUGACUGCCAAAGAUUUAUCGCUCUGAGAUGGCCUCGCGUCUGAUUAGCUAGUAGGCGGGGUAACGGCCCACCUAGGCGACGAUCAGUAGCCGGACUGAGAGGUUGACCGGCCACAUUGGGACUGAGACACGGCCCAGACUCCUACGGGAGGCAGCAUG